CCCAGAGCACAUGGAAGUUCCUGGGCCAGGGAUGGAGCUUGAGCCACAGCUAUUGCAACACUUGAUCCUUAAGCCACUGUACAGAGCUGGGAAUUGUACCGUGCCUCGGCAGCAACCCAAGCCACUACAGAGACAAUGCUGGAUCCUUGACCCACUUCGCCACAGUGGGAACUCCUCUAAAAGAUUCUUAAAGGUCUCAAAUAUAAUAGGAUGAUUUGAUCUGUGCUGAUCUAUUUUUAGGAAAUUAAGGAAAUCAAUACAUGUUAAAUGCACAGAAAAUAUUUACAAACUGCCAAAAAGAGGAGUGAAAGACAUGUUUUAAGUCAGUUGGGCACUUGCAGUGUCACACCUCUUCCUCCAGGUGGGUGUUCUCAGAGCUGGAGCAGGGCAGGCUGAAGCAGGUGACACGUUACUCCGGAGUUCAUAAAAAGCUACCGUGUUUUGAAAUAUCGCUUGCCUCUAGGCUGACUGUACCACUUUGAGACAUGUUGAAUAUAUUUAGAGACAUUUACUGAGGAAUUACUGUUUUAACUUCAUCUUUUAGAUGAACUCCACUUGGUUCUCAGGUAAUAACUCAUGUUGUUCAUAAAAUUCUGUGUGACACACAGCGAAGCCCAAACACACCAGAACAUCAGAGUUUGGAGCAGAAAAGGGUUUACUGGAGGCCAUGCAUGGAGAUGGGUGGCUCGUACCCCCAAAUAUCCUCAACUCCCUGAACCAAAAUUAUAAAGCACGUUUAAAAGCCAGGUGGGGGAGGGCUGGCAGGGUGGAAGAUGGGUUUGUGCACAGUUCUCUGACUGGCUGAUGCUGAGGUCACAAUUCUUAGGCUUCUGGCGACCUGGGGGCUCUGCUCAAGGUCAUCGAGUGGUUAACACCUUCUAUCUGGUGGGAGGGACUUUCACAUUGAAACAGUUCAGGAAUGUGAUCUGGGUACUUGGAGAGGAGCUGGGGGGAGGGCCCCCCCCACCGAGGCCCACAGGGUCCUGCAUGUUACAGUGUGAACAUUUUUUUAAGCAGAAUUUAAUUGUGCUCUCUAUAAAAUAAUGAAAUAAAAACGUGUUAAAAUAGAACUGCAUACCUUGGUAUAAUUUAAUCUGCGUCUAAUUAUUAUUGUUAUUAAUUUUAAUUAGGAAAUACUAACCCUCCCUUUUGAGAAAAUAAAAAGGUAGGUUUUUAUACAGUAUUAUUUCAGCUUAUUACAAUGAACCUCUGAUUCUCAAAGCAAGCUGGGAGAAUGGGUUCCCCAAAAGUGCAUAGAUUUCUGGGAUCAUUUAAAUUGGGAGAUUUGGAACAUGCUCUUAGCUGGUGUUAGAUUUCCGAGCGUGGGAAUCCUACUUUCUUCCGUGUCAGUAAGCAUCACUGUUCACUGAAGAAAGGAGACCAGACAGUCUUCGAAUUCACUUUAUUCAAAGCUGGAAGGAAAUGGCUGCAGGGCCCAAGAGUGGGCUCUUGUCUCACACUCAGAAAUGAAUUGUCGGAGGAGACCAGGGGCUGACAAAGCAGGAGAGGUUAUUGGGAAGGGGCGCCUGGGCGGAGAGCAGCAGGUGAGGGAACCCAGGAAGAGGCCUCUGCCAUAUGGCUUGCAGUCUCAGGGUUUAUGGGAAUGGGGUUAGUUUCUGGGUUGUCUCUGGCCAAUGGUCUUGCUAAGUUUUUACCUGGUCUGGCACAGGGUCCUUCUUGGGGGUUCUCACGUCUCUCAGCCAAGGUGGAUUCCAGCGCCAAGGAUCCUGGGAGGUUGGUCAUCUCCUCCCUCCUACUGGCCCCUCCCAAGCCCUCCUGUUAGUCUUUGGGGCAGCACCAUGGUCCUUAUCAGGGCCUUCUGCUAUGAGACAGCUCAUGCCAGUGGCUAAGUGUCUGGCCAAAGUGGGCAAUUUCAGUCAAUAGUCACCUAACAAAACCAUUUGUUAUACUUUCUAGAAUCUUCUGCUUUGAGAUUUGCCAGCAUUUUUGAGGCAUGAAAUUUUUGAGGUAUGAAAGAAUGAACUCCCCCCAAACAAACAUUUUCCCAUGUAUUUGUGUUUUAUCUCAAUUUAUAAGCGGCUUAAAUGCUGAGAUUGGAGUUUAAAUGUAGACAGGUUUAUGAGCUCAACAUCUGCCAUUCAUUUUGUGCAACUUCAAGAUACACAGUUGGUGCCUCAUCCUACUUGAAUAUUAUAAAACAUAAAUCAAAAUACUUUUUGAACUUAAUAGCAUUUCACAAAAAUUCAAAUUUGUCUGGAAUCCAAACCUCAACAGUGAAUUAAAUAACUAAUCCUGGGGAAAAAAAGAGAGAAGACUGAGAAAUUGAGUUGAUUUUCCAAGUUAUGUUUUUGAAAUAUGAUAUUCUAAAAGGCACAGGAAUCCUUGAAUUAUCUAGUUCAUUAGAAUAUUAUAGUCAAAAAUAAAGAAAAUAUUUAACAUUGACAUAUUUUAGAAAAACCCAACAGAGAUUGGAACACACCAUGAUUGAGACACAUCCAUUAUGUCUGCCAAUGUCUGGAUUCUACUCAGCCCUCAGGAAGUUUGUUGCAUGAAUGAAUCUGAACCUGCUACCUCAUUACACAGCCACAGGUGAGGAACGCAGGGGAAAUGAAUUCUCAUGGCCCCAGAGAAUUACCUUUCAAUCACCUGGAAACCAAAAACACCACCUGCUGGAACCCAGCCAGAACCCAGAUCAGGACUUGAACCCACAGUUUUAUUUAUUUAUUUAUUUAUAUUUUUUAGAAUUUAAUUUAAUUUAAUUUUGUUUUUUAGGGCUGCACUCAUGGCAUAUGGAAGUUCCCAGGCUAGGGGGCAAAUCGGAGAUACAGUUGCUGGUCUACACCACAGCCACAGCAACGUGGGAUCCAAGCUGCAUCUUCGACCUACACCACAGCUCAUGGCAAUGCCGGAUGCUUAACCCACUGAGCGAGGCCAGGGAUUGAACCUGUGUCCUCAUGGAUACUAGUUGGAUUCAUUAACUGCUGAGCCACAAAGGAAACUCUGGAAUCCACACCUAGUGUCUGGACUUACUGAGGCUCAGCUUCUUUGUGUCUCAGCACAGAAGGAAUUCAGCUAGAGACAAAGUGAUGGCUAAGAAAUAGAUUUCUUAAGAUAGGAUGCUUGUGAGAGAUGCAAGGGGCAGGCGAGGAGGCUCUGCCCUAAGGAUCAGGUGGGCUAAGGAAA
rnacentral:lncRNA from 1 species